ACAGUGGUGGCGGGCAGCCUGCGGUGCGCACGGCCACAGGUGCUCUUUUGAGAAAUUUGCUGCUAUUCAGUAAAUGAUCCUCAUGUGAUGGACGAGGAAACUGAGGACAAGAGAAGGUGACACUGAGGAAUUCCAUGUCCGAUCUCUUCCUGAAACCUGGAGCAGAUGGUACUAAGUCACUCCAUUGUUAAUAAUUUCUUUGAGAGGAGUCUCAUUUUUGGCAUCUGCAGCAUAAUAGCUUCUUCACGUAAUUAGUGGACCAAUAAGAGGCAAAAUGAUUAAAUGACAAAUUAACCAACUCCCAGCAA
rnacentral:lncRNA from 1 species